UGAAUUAGCGGCGAACGGGUGAGGAACACGUGAGAAAUCUGCCUUCAACACUGGGAUAACUCCGGGAAACCGGAGCUAAUACCGGAUACUCAAAUCUGGCGGCAUCGCUGGAUUUGGAAAGUUUUUCGGUGAAGGAUGAUCUCGCGGCCUAUCAGCUAGUUGGUGAGGUAAAGGCUCACCAAGGCGACGACGGGUAGCUGGUCUGAGAGGAUGGUCAGCCACACUGGGACUGAGACACGGCCCAGACUCC
rnacentral:rRNA from 1 species